rnacentral:rRNA from 1 species
GGUCCUACGGGACGCCGCAGUAGGGCUUCUUCCGUUUUUGGCGAAAGCCUGAUGGAGCAACGCCGCGUGGGUGAAGAAGGUCUUCGGAUCGUAAAACCCUGUUGUUAGAGAAGAGAGUGCGUGAGAGUAACUGUUCACGUUUCGACGGUAUCUAACCAGAAAGCCACGGCUAACUACGUGCCAGCAGCCGCGGUAAUACGUAGGUGGCAAGCGUUAUCCGGAUUUAUUGGGCGUAAAGGGAACGCAGGCGGUCUUUUAAGUCUGAUGUGAAAGCCUUCGGCUUAACCGGAGUAGUGCAUUGGAAA